AUUGCACGCUGGCGGCAGGCCUAACACCUGCAAGUCGAACGAGUGGCGGACGGGUGAGUAAUGUCUGGGACACUGCCCGAUGGAGGGGGCUAACUACUGGAAACGGUAGCUAAUACCGCAUACCAUCGGAUGUGCCCAGAUGGGAUUAGCUAGUAGGUGGGGUAACGUCUCACCUAGGCGCCGAUCCCUAGCUGGUCUGAGGGGAUGACCAGCCACACUGGAACUGAGACACGGGCCAGAAUCCUAGGGGAGGCAGCAGUGGGGAAGAUUGCACAAGGGGCGCAAGCCUGAUGCAGCCAUGCCGCGUGUAUGAAGAAGGACUUCGGGGUGUAAAGUACUUUCAGCGAGGAGGCGUUACUCGCAGAAGAAGCACCGGCUAACUCCGUGCCAGCAGCCGCGGUAAUAC
rnacentral:rRNA from 1 species